rnacentral:rRNA from 1 species
CAGUGGGAGCCUCUUUUAUGGGGUGACUGCGUACCUUUUGUAUAAUGGGUCAGCGACUUAUAUUCUGUAGCAAGGUUAACCGAAUAGGGGAGCCGAAGGGAAACCGAGUCUUAACUGGGCGUUAAGUUGCAGGGUAUAGACCCGAAACCCGGUGAUCUAGCCAUGGGCAGGUUGAAGGUUGGGUAACACUAACUGGAGGACCGAACCGACUAAUGUUGAAAAAUUAGCGGAUGACUUGUGGCUGGGGGUGAAAGGCCAAUCAAACCGGGAGAUAGCUGGUUCUCCCCGAAAGCUAUUUAGGUAGCGCCUCGUGAAUUCAUCUCCGGGGGUAGAGCACUGUUUCGGCAAGGGGGUCAUCCCGACUUACCAACCCGAUGCAAACUGCGAAUACCGGAGAAUGUUAUCACGGGAGACACACGGCGGGUGCUAACGUCCGUCGUGAAGAGGGAAACAACCCAGACCGCCAGCUAAGGUCCCAAAGUCAUGGUUAAGUGGGAAACGAUGUGGGAAGGCCCAGACAGCCAGGAUGUUGGCUUAGAAGCAGCCAUCAUUUAAAGAAAGCGUAAUAGCUCACUGGUCGAGUCGGCCUGCGCGGAAGAUGUAACGGGGCUAAACCAUGCACCGAAGCUGCGGCAGCGACACUAUGUGUUGUUGGGUAGGGGAGCGUUCUGUAAGCCUGUGAAGGUGUACUGUGAGGUAUGCUGGAGGUAUCAGAAGUGCGAAUGCUGACAUAAGUAACGAUAAAGCGGGUGAAAAGCCCGCUCGCCGGAAGACCAAGGGUUCCUGUCCAACGUUAAUCGGGGCAGGGUGAGUCGACCCCUAAGGCGAGGCCGAAAGGCGUAGUCGAUGGGAAACAGGUUAAUAUUCCUGUACUUGGUGUUACUGCGAAGGGGGGACGGAGAAGGCUAUGUUGGCCGGGCGACGGUUGUCCCGGUUUAAGCGUGUAGGCUGGUUUUCCAGGCAAAUCCGGAAAAUCAAGGCUGAGGCGUGAUGACGAGGCACUACGGUGCUGAAGCAACAAAUGCCCUGCUUCCAGGAAAAGCCUCUAAGCAUCAGGUAACAUCAAAUCGUACCCCAAACCGACACAGGUGGUCAGGUAGAGAAUACCAAGGCGCUUGAGAGAACUCGGGUGAAGGAACUAGGCAAAAUGGUGCCGUAACUUCGGGAGAAGGCACGCUGAUAUGUAGGUGAAGUCCCUCGCGGAUGGAGCUGAAAUCAGUCGAAGAUACCAGCUGGCUGCAACUGUUUAUUAAAAACACAGCACUGUGCAAACACGAAAGUGGACGUAUACGGUGUGACGCCUGCCCGGUGCCGGAAGGUUAAUUGAUGGGGUCAGCGCAAGCGAAGCUCUUGAUCGAAGCCCCGGUAAACGGCGGCCGUAACUAUAACGGUCCUAAGGUAGCGAAAUUCCUUGUCGGGUAAGUUCCGACCUGCACGAAUGGCGUAAUGAUGGCCAGGCUGUCUCCACCCGAGACUCAGUGAAAUUGAACUCGCUGUGAAGAUGCAGUGUACCCGCGGCAAGACGGAAAGACCCCGUGAACCUUUACUAUAGCUUGACACUGAACAUUGAGCCUUGAUGUGUAGGAUAGGUGGGAGGCUUUGAAGUGUGGACGCCAGUCUGCAUGGAGCCGACCUUGAAAUACCACCCUUUAAUGUUUGAUGUUCUAACGUGGACCCGUGAUCCGGGUUGCGGACAGUGUCUGGUGGGUAGUUUGACUGGGGCGGUCUCCUCCUAAAGAGUAACGGAGGAGCACGAAGGUUGGCUAAUCCUGGUCGGACAUCAGGAGGUUAGUGCAAUGGCAUAAGCCAGCUUGACUGCGAGCGUGACGGCGCGAGCAGGUGCGAAAGCAGGUCAUAGUGAUCCGGUGGUUCUGAAUGGAAGGGCCAUCGCUCAACGGAUAAAAGGUACUCCGGGGAUAACAGGCUGAUACCGCCCAAGAGUUCAUAUCGACGGCGGUGUUUGGCACCUCGAUGUCGGCUCAUCACAUCCUGGGGCUGAAGUAGGUCCCAAGGGUAUGGCUGUUCGCCAUUUAAAGUGGUACGCGAGCUGGGUUUAGAACGUCGUGAGACAGUUCGGUCCCUAUCUGCCGUGGGCGCUGGAGAAUUGAGGGGGGCUGCUCCUAGUACGAGAGGACCGGAGUGGACGCAUCACUGGUGUUCGGGUUGUCAUGCCAAUGGCACUGCCCGGUAGCUAAAUGCGGAAGAGAUAAGUGCUGAAAGCAUCUAAGCACGAAACUUGCCCCGAGAUGAGUUCUCCCUGACCCUUUAAGGGUCCUGAAGGAACGUUGAAGACGACGACGUUGAUAGGCCGGGUGUGUAAGCGCAGCGAUGCGUUGAGCUAACCGGUACUAAUGAACCGUGAGGCUUAACCUUACAACGCCGAAG